UAUCCGGAUUUAUUGGGUUUAAAGGGAGCGUAGGCGGACGCUUAAGUCAGUUGUGAAAGUUUGUGGCUCAACCGUAAAAUUGCAGUUGAUACUGGGUGUCUUGAGUACAGUAGAGGCAGGCGGAAUUCGUGGUGUAGCGGUGAAAUGCUUAGAUAUCACGAAGAACUCCGAUUGCGAAGGCAGCUUGCUGGACUGUAACUGACGCUGAUGCUCGAAUGUGUGGGUAUCAAACAGGAUUAGAUACCCUGGUAGUCCACACAGUAAACGAUGAAUACUCGCUGUUUGCGAUAUACAGUAAGCGGCCAAGCGAAAGCGU
rnacentral:rRNA from 1 species